GAUGAACGCUGGCGGCGUGCCUAAUACAUGCAAGUCGAGCGAACAGAUGAGGAGCUUGCUCCUCUGACGUUAGCGGCGGACGGGUGAGUAACACGUGGAUAACCUACCUAUAAGACUGGGAUAACUUCGGGAAACCGGAGCUAAUACCGGAUAAUAUAUUGAACCGCAUGGUUCAAUAGUGAAAGACGGUUUUGCUGUCACUUAUAGAUGGAUCCGCGCCGCAUUAGCUAGUUGGUAAGGUAACGGCUUACCAAGGCAACGAUGCGCAGCCGACCUGAGAGGGUGCUCGGCCACACUGGAACUGAGACACGGUCCAGACUCCUACGGGAGGCAGCAGUAGGGAAUCUUCCGCAAUGGGCGAAAGCCUGACGGAGCAACGCCGCGUGAGUGAUGAAGGUCUUCGGAUCGUAAAACUCUGUUAUUAGGGAAGAACAAAUGUGUAAGUAACUAUGCACGUCUUGACGGUACCUAAUCAGAAAGCCACGGCUAACUACGUG
rnacentral:rRNA from 1 species